UGCAGAGGUCUCAAGCGUUGUUCGGAUUCAUUGGGCGUAAAGGGUGCGUAGGCUGUGGGGUAAGUCUGGUGUGAAAUCCCGAGGCUCAACCUCGGGUCUGCAGUCGAUACGGGCAAACUAGAGUAUUGCAGGGGAGACUGGAAUUCCUGGUGUAGCGGUGAAAUGCGCAGAUAUCAGGAGGAACACCGGUGGCGAAGGCGGGUCUCUGGGCCGAUACUGACGCUGAGGAGCGAAAGCGUGGGGAGCGAACAGG
rnacentral:rRNA from 1 species